rnacentral:rRNA from 1 species
GACGAACGCUGGCGGCGUGCUUAACACAUGCAAGUCGAACGGAAAGGCCUGCUUUCCCUUGUGGAUUGCGGGUACUCGAGUGGCGAACGGGUGAGUAACACGUGAGUGAUCUGCCCCCAACUUGGGUAUAAGCCUGGGAAACUGGGCCUAAUUCCCGAUAGGACUGCAGGGUGGUGCCUGUGGUGGAAAACGAUUUUCUAGUGGUUGGGGAUGAGCUCGCGGCCUAUCAGCUUGUUGGUGGGGUAAUGGCCUACCAAGGCGGCGACGGGUAGCCGGCCUGGGAGGGUGGACGGCCACAUUGGGACUGAGAUACGGCCCAGACUCCUACGGGAGGCAGCAGUGGGGAAUAUUGCACAAUGGGCGGAAGCCUGAUGCAGCGACGCCGCGUGGGGGAUGACGGCCUUCGGGUUGUAAACUCCUUUCGACCGCGAGGAAGCCACCUGGUUGGAAGGGUGGUGACGGUAGUGGUAGAAGAAGCACCGGCUAACUACGUG